UUCUUUCUCUCUCUCUCCUCGUCUUCUCUUCUCUUCUCUCUCGAUUUCUCUUCUCUCUCUUCCCACAAACCCUAAUACGAUUUCUCUCUUUUCUCUCCUUAUUCUCUUCUCUCCGUCUUCUCCUUUCAUUUUUGGCGGUGAUUUCAGUCCUCAAAACCCUAAUCAUGUUCAGGCACCAAUGAUGAUUAUGGUGACAGCAACAUUUGGAUAGAUGACAACAACAUUUGUUCUUCACUCUCACUUUACCAUUAUUUUUGCUGCAUCAUAAACCCAAUGAUGAUUAUGGUGACAGCAACAUUUGGAUAGAUGACAACAACAUUUGUUCUUCACUCUCACUUUACCAUUAUUUUCCAAAGAAUGAAGAACUACACGAUCUAUGCAGUGUCUAUCACUAUCCGUAUAGUGUGUCAUGUCUAUACCUCCCAUUAUGAUAUCUGAUUUAAACAAGGGUAAAAAUAUCUAGAAGAUUGUCGUUCGUAUUGUCGACCUCUGGACCAUGAAAGAACAAAAUGGACAGGAGCCUUUUGAAACUAUUAUACAGGACAUCAAGGGCAACGAAAUUCAUGUCAUCAUUACUAAAAACCUUAACAUAGAGAUUUGGAAAAUGAGGCUACAAGAACAUCAAACCUAUAAGACUAUUAAGGUGAACCUUUAGCCAACGAUCUUCCAUUGAAGGUUUGAGAGAAUACCUUAAAGCUACUUUUUACUAAUGGAACCGCUGUCACAAAGCUAAACAUUCCUGAAAUCCCAAAACACAAGUUCAUUUUCAAGCCUAUUGUUGAUUUGUUAACAAGAAAUUUUCAAGCUGACUGUUUAUACGGGUUAACUUUGGUGACAUGGAACGGGAAGCACUGCUUUGUAAAGCUCGCAAACUUAUGGGUCAAGGCUGCAAAAUCGAAGGGAACUGUGCCUGUUAUUGAUGUGAUGCAGCAUGGUUUCUUUAAGGUUCUUGGUAAGGGUGUUUUUCCGAGUAAUCAGCCGAUUGUUGUUAAGGCAAAGUUGAUUUCGAAGAUUGCGGAGAAGAAAAUUAAGGAGGCUGGUGGUGAUGUUGUUCUUAAUGCUUAGGUUUUUAUUCUGUUGCUUUUUGAAAUUUUCAUUAAUUUGAUUUCAUACAUUUGUAUUUGAUCUUAUGUUGGUUAGCUUAAUUGGGUAUGUUUUGGAAAAUUACAUGUUUUGGUUAUAAUUAUAUCAUAUGCUUCUGAUAAAAAAAAGUUCAGAUCAAGUUUAGAGUUGAUGGUGAAUGGAAAAUUGAUUUGUUACCGGCAGUACCAUUUGAAACUUGGAGGUUUGUAUAAUUACUAAACAUUACAGGCAGUACUAUUGAGAAUCCAUGUUUGUAGUUGUGCAUUAAAACAUUCUCAUUCCUAAAUGAUUUACAUCAAUAAUAGAAAAGUUAGCAAUACACUCUCUCCUACCUGCAAGAAAUUCAACCAAUAUAAAAGAGAGUGUUGUGACGUGUGUUAAAAAUUUGUUAGAAAAUUACUAUAUCAUUUUACUAUCUUAAUGACCUUCUUAAUACUGUGUUUAAAACAUGGGCAUGGUCUUUGGAAGGGUUGCAUCAGUUGAACAUGCAGCUCCCAUGUAAACAAUAUAAACUUGAUUAUCAGUCUCUGAUUGAAUUGAUGAUGAUGUUGAUUCUCCAAGAAAAUUGAAAAGAGAGUAAAAUAUUAGUAUCAACAAAAUUGAAUUUCCUCACGUUUUUGGUAUUCUCCCA